GCUGUGGGGUGUACUGUGUGUGCUGUGGGGUGUACUGUGUGUGCUGUGGGGUGUACUGUGUGUGCUGUGGGGUGUACUGUGUGUGUAGAUCUGGGUGUACUGUGUGUGGAAAAUGGUGCAUGGUGUGUGCACCGUGGUGUCUUGCCGGGUGCACUGUGGCAUGUGCACUGUGGACUGGCACUGGGUGCACCCGGCCGCGUCCGCAGAGAAGCCCUUGCUCUAGGGCGAGGGCCGCAGCCUCACUCAAGGGAAGGCAGAUCUUGGGCUCGCGGCAGAGCCACGUCAAUGGAAACCAGAUGGACGUGUGGGCAGCACACGAGGUUUAGAGAAUUCCUGCUGGCCGGAUGUGGGAAA
rnacentral:lncRNA from 1 species